CCCCGCGGCUGGGAGCGGUGCCCGCCCGGCCCUCCGAUCGGCCCGUGAGGCCUCUCUGCCCUGCGGGGGCUCCGUGGCUCCUCCCCGUUCGGUGUCGUCUCCGAAUUUAAUGAGUACGCCGUGAAGUCCCGUGUCCUGUCGCUGAUAAACGUUAAAGAGAACUGGCCCUAAAAACGCAGCCCUGUGGAUCCCAGCGGUGCUGAUCCCAAGCAAAGUGUCCCAAGGGAGCGUUCACAGCCUCUCCGUGCCCCACGCACAAGAAGGAGCAGCCAAGGAGGAAGGGGAUGAGAGGCGUGUGUGAGGGUCAGCCCGCUGUCAGCCCGGCCGUGGUCUGAGGAAGAGCAGAUGGCCGCUCAGCCCCGGCCCGCUCGGGCGUUACGGAGCCGCACCC
ensembl:lncRNA